GACAGAGGGGGCAAGCGUUGCUCGGAAUUACUGGGCGUAAAGGGCGCGUAGGCGGGAUGGCAAGUCGGUCGUGAAAUCCUUCGGCUCAACCGAAGAACGUCGAUCGAUACUGCUGUUCUUGAGGGUUGCAGAGGAGACUGGAAUUCCCGGUGUAGCGGUGAAAUGUGUAGAGAUCGGGAGGAACACCGGUGGCGAAGGCGGCAUCCUGGACCAACACUGACGCUGAGGAGCGAAAGCCAGGGGAGCAAACGGG
rnacentral:rRNA from 1 species